rnacentral:rRNA from 1 species
GAUGAACGCUGGCGGCGUGCUUAACACAUGCAAGUCGAACGAAGAGCGAUGGAGGCUUGCUUCUAUCAAUCUUCGUGGCGCGGGGGUGAGUAACGCGUAAUACCCAUGCACUUCAGAGGGAGAACACCGUUGGACACGACUGCUAAUCCCACAUACGAUCUAAUCUCGGCAUCGAGGAUAGAUGAACGGUGGCCUCUACACGUAUGCUAUCACUCACGGUGGGGAUUGCGUCUGAUUAGCUAGUUGGUGGGGUAACGGCCCACCAAGGCGACGAUCAGUAGCCGGUCUGAGAGGAUGAACGGCCACAUUGGAACCGAGACACGGCCCAGACUCCUACGGGAGGCAGCAGUGGGGAAUCUUCCGCAAUGGACGAAAGCCUGACGGAGCAACGCCGCGUGAGUGAUGACGGUCUUCGGAUUGUAAAGCUCAGUUAAUCGGGACGAAAGGCUGUGUAACGAACAGUGAGAAGGAUGGACGGAACCGGAAUAGAAGGCCCCGGCAAACUACGU